CGCUCCGCUGGCGUCCGCCUCCCGGGCAGACGGCGGCGGCGCGGCGGGGCGCGAUGGCGGCCGGGCUGGGGCCGUGGCUGCUGGCCUUGGCCUUGGGGCCGGCGGGAGUGUGUGCGCAGUUCAGACUGGAAGUGUCUGGCGGAGGUGUGCGAGCACCUGGGGACUCUGUGCGACUCUCCUGCCGGGGAUCCGACUUCAGCUUUGGAUAUUACCCUAUACUAUGGUACCGUCUGGCACUUGGUGGCCGUCUCAGGUGGCUGUCCUUCAUCAACACUGCAUCACAGGUUACAUACAGCCCAGAGUUGGAGGGUAGAGCCUUGGUUUCUCGUGACGAAUCCCGAUCUGUGUCCUUUCUGUCUCUCCUUGCUCUGCGCCCACACGACUCAGCGCACUACUUCUGUGCUGUUCACACAGGAACAGGAAAUCCUGCAGAGCUGUAACAAAAAUCCCCUUCUUAGACACAGCCACGGAUGCUGGAGCCACAGAGCUGGCAGGAGCUGGAGCUGCUCUGGUCUGCUCCUAGGACAGUGGAGGGACAUCACUACACACCGCAAAUGACCCUGUCCUUUCUGCACAGUCUCCUUUCACUUCAUCACUCCUUUCAUGCUCCUGAGUCACAAAAGCAGUGUUGUAUCCUGACGAUUAAGUUCACAAUAUUUCUGGUCCCCAGAUGAGCUUGGCCACUUUUCCUCCCUUCCUACCUGCAGCACGUCUGCACUUGCUAUUUCUUUCCUUCUUCCUUUGGGUAUUGAAGAGCACAUUGGGCGCUUCUAGCAACAGCAUUGCCUGCUUCCAUCCACCAGCCAUGGGUUUUUUUCCAUCAGUCUCUGUGAGCAAAGCACUGAGUGAAUAUCUUCGACGUGGUUUCAGGUGCAUUUCAGAACGAUAUAAACCAACAAACGCAGUCUGUAGUGUUGGGUCAUGCAGGACAAACAGAUCCUGCAAUGCAUGUAAGUUACUCUGAAAGCAGUGUCUCUUAUUUGGUUCCAGUGAAACUGUAACAGUUUCAAAGUGCACAAUAACUCCAUUUGACAGAGCAGAUGCACAGCUGGAGGGCAUUAUCUUUUAACACAGUCAAUACCAUUAGUUACACAUUUUCACUUGUGAUGAAGAAGAUCCUUCAUCUCGUGCUGGUGAAUACCUGCACCAUUUUUCCUGGCAAUGGCCUUCCGCCAGGGUGCAGCCAUGGGCAAAGCAGCAGGCUCACUUGCACUAAGGUAGCCUUAAUGAGGACAAGACAGGGGGAGCCCGGAGACUUCUGGUAGAGCACAGGGGGACUAGAUGGAGUUGCAAAGAGGAGAAUGGAAUUGAAGGCUUACAGGCUGAUUUCUGCAUGAUGCCAUGUCAUGGAACGAGAGGGAGGCCAUCCAGGAAGGCAUGUGCGAGGAGAGGCUGCGGGCCGAGAGCCCGUGCGUGGGGCAGCCGAGCUGCGGGCGGCCUCGGCCCGGGCCCGUCGUGCACGGAGCGCUGCGCGGACAUCA